GUCUCGAACUGAGAAAAGCUCUUCUGACUGAUAACAUACCCGUCCUCGAUCAUCACCUUCAGCUCGUACGUCUGACGGACACAGCAGUGGAAAAGCAUGUCAUGUGGACACUAGAGGGUUCAUCUACUGUAUCUAUGAAGGCAGCUCUCUACGCUCCACUAAACAAACACAGCCUUCCUGUGGAAGUGUACUUCAGCUCAUUUUUAUUGAUGCUGGAGUACCUCAAAGAAGCCAAUGAUUCAGGUCUUCCUGAAGGAAACUCACCACGUCUUUGCCGCUGACGGUGUAUUUCUGGAUCACGGCUUCCUGAAUGUUGGAGCUGGAGGAGAUCCGGCUGUCAGCGAGCGGCUCGGACCGUCUGACGGAGGAAAACUGAACCAUAUUGUGGAUGAGGAAGUUCAACUUGACAGGAAUAAAAUUGUGGUGUGAGAAGAACAUGAUCGAGUCACUGCUGAAAGAGUCUUACAGAUGCGUAAAGAUCUACUGAAAUCUUGAUCAGAUCUUUAAAAUAAAAAUAUAAAAUCCACAUACCACAAA